rnacentral:piRNA from 1 species
UAAGAGACAGACUUCUGGCGCAUU